rnacentral:tRNA from 1 species
GGACUCGUAGCGCAAUGGUAGCGCGUCAGUUUUCGGCACUGAAGGUUGCAGGUUCGAGCCCUGCCGAGUUCG